rnacentral:rRNA from 1 species
AUUGAACGCUGGCGGCAGGCCUAACACAUGCAAGUCGAGCGAGCGGCGGACGGGUGAGUAAUGUAUGGGGACUGCCCGAUAGAGGGGGAUAACUACUGGAAACGGUGGCUAAUGCCGCAUACUAUCGGAUAACCCAUAUGGGAUUCGCUAGUAGGGGGGGUAAAGGCUAACCUGGGCGACGAUCUCUAGCUGGGCUGAGAGGAUGAUCAGCCAAACUGGGACUGAGACACGGCCCAUAAUCCUACGGAGGCAUCAGGUGGGAAUAUUGCACAAUGGGCGCAAGCCUGAUGCAGCCAUGCCGCGUGUAUGAAGAAGGCCUUAGGUUUGUAAAGUACUUUCAGCGGGGAGGCGUUACCCGCAGAAGAAGCACCGGCUAACUCCGUGCCAGCAGCCGCGGUAAUUC